AGAGUUUGAUCCUGGCUCAGAUUGAACGCUGGCGGAAUGCUUUACACAUGCAAGUCGAGCGGCAGCGCGGGGGCAACCCUGGCGGCGAGCGGCGAACGGGUGAGUAAUACAUCGGAACGUACCCAGUAGUGGGGGAUAGCCCGGCGAAAGCCGGAUUAAUACCGCAUACGACCUGAGGGUGAAAGGGGGGGAUCGCAAGACCUCUCGCUGUUGGAGCGGCCGAUGUCGGAUUAGCUAGUUGGUGGGGUAAAGGCCCACCAAGGCGACGAUCCGUAGCUGGUCUGAGAGGAUGAUCAGCCACACUGGAACUGAGACACGGUCCAGACUCCUACGGGAGGCAGCAGUGGGGAAUUUUGGACAAUGGGGGAAACCCUGAUCCAGCCAUUCCGCGUGAGUGAAGAAGGCCUUCGGGUUGUAAAGCUCUUUCGGCAGGAACGAAACGGCCGUCUCUAACAUAGAUGGCUAAUGACGGUACCUGAAGAAGAAGCACCGGCUAACUACGUGCCAGCAGCCGCGGCAAUACGUAGGGUGCAAGCGUUAAUCGGAAUUACUGGGCGUAAAGCGUGCGCAGGCGGUUUUGUAAGACAGGUGUGAAAUCCCCGGGCUUAACCUGGGAACUGCGCUUGUGACUGCAAGACUCGAGUGCGGCAGAGGGGGGUGGAAUUCCACGUGUAGCAGUGAAAUGCGUAGAGAUGUGGAGGAACACCGAUGGCGAAGGCAGCCCCCUGGGUCGACACUGACGCUCAUGCACGGAAGCGUGGGUAGCAAACAGGAUUAGAUACCCUGGUAGUCCACGCCCU
rnacentral:rRNA from 1 species